ensembl:snRNA U6 U6 spliceosomal RNA
GUGCUCACUUCAGUAGCACAUAUACUAAAAUUGGUAUGAUUAUAGAGAUUAGCAUGGCCUCUGCACAAGGAUGACACACAAAUUUGUGAAGUGUUCCGUAUUUUA